GACGAACCGUGCGAACGUUGUUCGGAAUCACUGGGCUUAAAGGGCGCGUAGGCGGUUCGUACAGUCAGACGUGAAAUUCCCGGGCUCAACCUGGGGGCUGCGUUUGAUACGUGCGGGCUUGAGUUCGGAAGAGGGUCGUGGAAUUCCCAGUGUAGAGGUGAAAUUCGUAGAUAUUGGGAAGAACACCGGUGGCGAAGGCGGCGACCUGGUCCGAUACUGACGCUGAGGCGCGAAAGCGUGGGGAGCAAACAGG
rnacentral:rRNA from 1 species